UCUUCAGAUGAUGAUCCCAAGCCUUCUGGCGCUUGCAGGAACUUAUCCGAAUUUGUUUUUUCGGGAAGGAACUUUUCUAUUUUAUAAGUAUAUGCUGGAGAAGGUUAUCUGGUUUGCCCCGGAGGGCUUGUAGCUCAGUUGGUUAGAGCGCGCGCUUGAUAAGCGCGAGGUCGGAGGUUCAAGUCCUCCCAGGCCCACCAUUUAUAAGUGCUUAUGACGGUUUUUUGUAUAGGGGUUUGUAUUUUUUAUUGAGAAUACAUCUUUUAUGGUUUUAUGCCCUUAGCUAUUAUGGGGCCGUAGCUCAGCUGGGAGAGCACCUGCUUUGCAAGCAGGGGGUCGUCGG
rnacentral:misc_RNA from 1 species